GACGUAGGGGGCAAGCGUUGUUCGGAAUCACUGGGCGUAAAGCGCACGUAGGCGGAUUUGCCAGUCAGGGGUGAAAUCCCGGGGCUCAACCUCGGAACUGCCUUUGAUACAGCAAGUCUUGAGUUCGAGAGAGGUGGGUGGAAUUCCUAGUGUAGAGGUGAAAUUCGUAGAUAUUAGGAAGACCACCACUGGCGAACGCGGCCACCUGGACGAACACUGACGCUGAGACGCGAAAGCGUGGGUAGCAAACAGG
rnacentral:rRNA from 1 species